UGCCAGCAGCCGCGGUAAUACGAAGGGCCCGAGCGUUGCGCGGAAUCACUGGGCUUAAAGCGUGCGUAGGCGGACAUGCAGGCGUUUUGUGAAAUCCCUCGGCUCAACCGAGGAAUUGCUUGACGAACCGCAUGUCUUGAGGCAGGUAGGGGCUGUCGGAACGAUAGGUGGAGUGGUGAAAUGCGUUGAUAUCUAUCGGAACACCGAAGGAGAAAUCAGGCAGCUGGGCCUGUCCUGACGCUGAGGCACGAAAGCGUGGGGAGCGAACGGGAUUAGAUA
rnacentral:rRNA from 1 species